rnacentral:rRNA from 1 species
UACGUAGGCAGCGAGCGUUGUUCGGAAUUACUGGGCGUAAAGAGUGUGUAGGCGGUGUUCCAAGUCUGGUGUGAAAUCUCCCGGCUCAACUGGGAGGGUGCGCCGGAAACUGGAAUGCUAGAGGGCGGGAGAGGUAAGCGGAAUUCCUGGUGUAGCGGUGAAAUGCGUAGAUAUCAGGAGGAACACCGGUGGCGAAGGCGGUUCUCUGGGCCUUACCUGACGCUGAGGAGCGAAAGCGUGGGGAGCGAACAGG